rnacentral:rRNA from 1 species
GACGAACGCUGGCGGCGCGCCUAACACAUGCAAGUCGAACGAGCGAGAGAGAGCUUGCUUUCUCGAGCGAGUGGCGAACGGGUGAGUAACGCGUGAGGAACCUGCCUCAAAGAGGGGGACAACAGUUGGAAACGACUGCUAAUACCGCAUAAGCCCACGGCUCGGCAUCGAGCAGAGGGAAAAGGAGCAAUCCGCUUUGAGAUGGCCUCGCGUCCGAUUAGCUAGUUGGUGAGGUAACGGCCCACCAAGGCAACGAUCGGUAGCCGGACUGAGAGGUUGAACGGCCACAUUGGGACUGAGACACGGCCCAGACUCCUACGGGAGGCAGCAGUGGGGAAUAUUGCACAAUGGGGGAAACCCUGAUGCAGCGACGCCGCGUGGAGGAAGAAGGUCUUCGGAUUGUAAACUCCUGUUGUUGGGGAAGAUAAUGACGGUACCCAACAAGGAAGUGACGGCUAACUACGUGCCAGCAGCCGCGGUAAAACGUAGGUCACAAGCGUUGUCCGGAAUUACUGGGUGUAAAGGGAGCGCAGGCGGGAAGACAAGUUGGAAGUGAAAUCUAUGGGCUCAACCCAUAAACUGCUUUCAAAACUGUUUUUCUUGAGUAGUGCAGAGGUAGGCGGAAUUCCCGGUGUAGCGGUGGAAUGCGUAGAUAUCGGGAGGAACACCAGUGGCGAAGGCGGCCUACUGGGCACCAACUGACGCUGAGGCUCGAAAGUGUGGGUAGCAAA